rnacentral:rRNA from 1 species
CGUCUCGCGGUGCUCCGUUCGUUUCUUCACGCUCGAGGAGGGAGGGGAGGCUGGGUGCGGUGCGGCGGCGGUUAUUGCUGGUUGAGUGCACGGGAUAGGAAGAGGAAGAGGGGGGAAAGCAAGCAGAGGAUUUGGCGGCGGUCGUACCUGCGGUUCUUCUCCAGCGGCGGGCGGGGGAGCCGGCGGCCUCGGCGCGGCGGGCGCCGGUUGCCUAUGAAGUCGAGGCAGAAGAGGCGUGGCCGCAGCGGACGCCGUUUAGGUUCUCUGCGGUCCGUCUACCUGGACAUGUGCUAUGACUUGUUCGUCUUGGGGUUUCCCGACUCACCGCCCCCGUAACGUCUACGGUUUAGGGUUCCGUUGGGAUGAUUACCAGCACAACGUAUAUUUCUACCUUUUGUCAAAAUAGGUUUGCUCAGGAGUCUCAGUGGAAUAAAACCGAGCAGACACGUAAUGCCACCGGCCCUGAAGAUACUGUCGAGAGGUGUGUUCGUUCGACUACUUAGUAGGUCUUUAAUAUUCCUCCUAUUACGUCUACCGAGGGACCGAUGGUCUCCACUAACCACCGUUCCAAGUGAAAUGAUGAUUUUUAUGAAACGUUACCUGAGAGGAUGACACUUGUUCCUUAUUUUUCCUCAUGCAGCUCGACCAUCCGACAUCUCAACUGUACUCAGUAGUCCGUAUUCUUUUCAGUAUCACCUUGAUGUAGACAAGACAGCCACCACCGUCAUAAAUCUACGUAGUCAGUGGAUCCGUCUACAUCUGCAUGAUACACAGAGAAAAGAAGCGGAAUGAUCUAAACUCACUACUUUACAUUACCCUGACCAUCCCGUCGUCGUUCAUCCAGGAUGUUUUUCAACGACGAUAAAACGUUGACUGCUCUAGUGAACGACAUACGCAACACAUAGGACCAAGCACCAACACAAAAUCAUUAUAAACCUAAACGUGUAGACAAAGUCAGAUGGUAAACAAACGACUCUCUUAGUACGAUACUUGAACACUGUUACCAA